AGACAUGAAGUGACCCAGUUCCUGCCCCUGGAGGAGACAGAAGAAGGGAUGGGGAAAGGAGACCAGGCCUCCUAGCUCUGCCUCAAGCCUACCAACACAAGGCUUUCCAGCCCCAGACGCAGACAACAAUGGGGUGAGGAGCUUCCUGGCUGGCCUGGAGCUCGGGGGACCCAAAUUCCUGCAGGGAACUGCUUCCAGCGGCUGCGCCUCUCUGCGUGAUAUGAAGAGACCAUGGGAUGUGGAAGCCUUGCCAGGAGGUUGAACACCAGCCCUCUGGCUGCUCACCCUGCAGGGCACCCCUGCAUUAGGUGUGACUUGGGGACUCGUUUUCUCUGCUUUGUGGAUGGCGUCCAGGCUGCUCUCUGCAGCAAAGGGACCAUCCAGCUGGAGAACCUCUGCAAGGAGCCUUCUGCAGACACCUCGGCAGGAUGCUUCCUGCCAGCGCGCUGCCCAGAAACUGCACAAUCACGCCUGCCUCCACAGCACCGCCAGCCAGAGAUUUCAAGGGAGCUGACUUCUCUUGCAAUGGUGCUUGAGCAACUGCCUGACUCCAAAAGCAGCCCUUUGAGCCUGAGUUGCCUGGGUUCCUGUGCUCACCAGGGGAGGAGACAGCUUGGGGAGAUA
rnacentral:lncRNA from 1 species